CUGUGACAGUGUCCCCGUGUCCUCUCUAACCUGUGUCCUGAGUCCCUGUGACAGUGUCCCCGUUCCUCUCUAACCUGGGUCUUGAGUCCCUGUGAGGGUUUCCCCGUGUCCUCCCUAACCUGUGUCCUGAGUCCCUGUUACACUGUCCCUGUGUCCUCUCUAACCUGUGUCCUGAGUCCCUGUGACACUGUCCCCGUGUCUU
rnacentral:lncRNA from 1 species